rnacentral:lncRNA from 1 species
UCUGAUCUCGGAAUGAUUAAAUUAAAAAAUAAGAGGGAUUCUAAAAAAUAGCACCAAUUGAAGUUUUUCUUCCACACUUACCACACACUCUCAUCUUGUCCAAAAUUAGCACAAAUAAUCUAAUUAAUAUUGAAACACAAAAAAAUAUUAAUUAAGUACCUCUCUCCUACAUGCUUUCCUCGACCAAGUGAAAAUUACGCGCCUCUCCUCCACGUACCACCACCGUCUUGUUGUUAAUUGCUUAUACAAGAUCGGAUCUUCAAAAAAAUUGCCGGUGAUCAAUUGAUGUAGCCAUGUCUAAUGCCAUCCACAGUUCUGAGAUAUCACAGAUGAUUGAAUUGGAAGUUGAAUUCAAUUUUGAGAAGCUUCUCUAUCAGAUAAUCAGAUCUCUCGCUCCUCUUCUCUCUAGUGCGUACACUUCCUACUUCGUUUUUGUGUAUAUUUUGAAUCACCGAGAAUGAUAUUCAAUUCGUUGCUUUUGUUUUGUUGUGAAGGUUAAGCCUAAGGCCAAUGAGUCUCGAGGUCAUGGACGCCUAGGAUACGUCAUGGAGGAGGAGCUAAAUGAUCCAAUUGUAGAGAAAGAAGAAGAAUUUCAAUUCGGUGAGAAGGUCAUGGUACGUUGUCGGAUAUGUGGAUAGGAAAUUAAUCAGAGGGAUCUGAUUCUAAGGAAGCUGGAAUUGAGAAGGACCAUUCGUAAAAACUAAAACAAAAAGUAAUUCUUUUUUUUUUUUUUUUUGUAAACCAACAAAAAGUAAUUCUAUUUUUCAUUCCAAACACUAAUUUUUCUUUACUCGUCUGAUCCCCAAUUUCUUUACCGUCGUUACUCUCCGGCGGUCGUGAAUCAACAACCGCAACCAUCCCGGGUUUCCACGACCCUUCUGUUUUCCCAAACACCUAGCUACACCGCCGCCGUCGCUGUGUGAGUGUCUACCGUCAACCAAAUUGACAUCCCUGCCCUCCGACUUGCAAUUUUGCCACAAACCCCGCACCCAACGCCUUCUGUCAACAAUCUGCCGUCUCGACUAUUCCCUACCGCUACUUCCCGUCGCCUUACUGUGGUCCCAUUACAGAUGCCUUCAAACCGUCGCAUAACAAGGUUUUUAUACCUUGUCCUGAUGCCCCUUCGUCUUCCAACCACCCCCGCAAUGUUAUGCAUCUACAAACUAUUCUUCAGACUGGGACAAGUUUCUCCCUCCUCGAAUAAUACAUCGUCUGGACAUAACUUCGUGGCCAAUAAGGAUUCGUGAACAUUUGGACAUUGUUUUACCAUAACAAAAUUAUAAUGGACUGUGUAGGUGUGAAUUACAA